rnacentral:lncRNA from 1 species
AAUAGCCAAUCAUCUAUUGCCUGAGAGCACAGCGGGAGGGACAAGGAUUGGGAUAUAAACCCAGGCAUUCGAGCUGGCAACGGCAACCCCCUUUGGGUCUCCUCCCUUUGCAUAGGAGCUCUGUUUUCACUCUAUUAAGUCUUGCAACUGCACUCUUCUGGUCCGUGUUUCUUACCGCUUGAGCUGAGCUUUCCCUCACUGUCCACCACUGCUGUUUUGCCACCGUCACAGGCCCACCGCUGACUUCCAUUCUUCUGGAUCUAGCAGGCUGUCCACUGUGCUCCUGAUCCAGCGAGGCGCCCAUUGCCGCUCCCGAUUGGGCUAAAGGCUUGCCAUUGUUCCUGCAUGGCUACGUGCCUGGGUUCAUCCUAAUCAAGCCGAACACUAGUCACUGGGUUCCACGGUUCUCUUCCAUGACCCACGACUUCUAAUAGAACUAUAACACUCACCUCAUGGCCCAAGAUUCCAUUCCUUGGAAUCCAUGAGGCCAAGAACCCCAGGUCAGAGAACACGAGGCUUGCCACCAUCUUGGAAGUGGCCCCACCACCAUCUUGGGAGCUCUGGGAGCAAGGACCCCCGGUAACAUUUUGGCGACCACAAAGGGACAUCCAAAGUGUUUGUCUCUUCCAGAAUCAAAGCUGUAAAACUACAAAUAGUUCUUCAAAUGGAGCCCCAGAUGUAGUCCAUGACUAAGAUCUACCGCGGACCCCUGGACAAGCCUGCUAGCCCAUGCUCUGAUGUUAAUGACAUGGAAGGCACCCCUCCCGAGGAAAUCGCAACUGCACAACCCCUAUUACACCCCAAUUCAGCAGGAAGCAGUUAGAGCAUUCAUCAGCCAACCUCCCCAACAGCACUUGGGUUUUCCUAUUGAGAGGGGGUACUGAGAGACAGGACUAGCUGGAUGUCCUAGGCUGACUAAGAAUCCCUAAGCCUAGCUGGGAAGGUGACCACAUCCACCUUUAAAUACGGGGCUUGCAACCUAGCUCACACCCAACAGAUCAGAGAGCUCGUUAAAAUGCUAAUUAGGCAAAAACAGGAGGUAAAGAAAUAGCCAAUCAUCUAUUGCCUGAGAGCACAGCAGGAGGGACAAGGAUUGGGAUAUAAUCCCAGGCAUUCGAGCUGGCAACAGCAACCCCCUUUGGGUCCCCUCCCUUUGUAUGGGAGCUGUUUUCACUCUAUUUCACUCUAUUAAAUCUUGCAACUGCACUCUUCUGGUGCAUGUUUGUUACUGCUUGAGCUGAACUUUCACUCGCCAUCUACCACUGCUGUUUUGCCGCCGUCGCAGACCCACUGCUGACUUCCAUUCUUCUGGAUCCAGCAGGGUGUCCACUGUGCUCCUGAUCCAGUGAGGCACCCAUUGCCGCUCCCGAUCUGGCUAAAGGCUUGCCAUUGUUCCUGCAUCGCUAAGUGCCUGGGUUCGUCCUAAUCAAGCUGAACACUAGUCACUGGGUUCCACAGUUCUCUUCCAUGACCCACGACUUCUAAUAGAGCUAUAACACUCACCUUAUGGCCCAAGAUUCCAUUCCUUGGAAUCCAUGAGGCCAAAAACCCCAGGUCAGAGAACAUGAGACUUGCCACCAUGUUGAAGUGGCCUGCUGCCAUUUUGGAAGUGGCCCACCACCAUCUUGGGAGCUCUGGGAGCAAGGACCCCUGGUAACACAAUGGUCAUGAUGACACUAACCUCAAAGUUUUGUCACUUAUUAUCUCUAUUGAUAGUUCACUGUUAUGCAAAAUUUGCCUCCUAUAACUUUAUUUUUGUUAUCUUUGUCUUCUGAGGACAAACUGAAAAUUAAAUGAGAAUUGUCCCAUUUUCACAACCAUUUUCUCAGAUCACAGUUCCACCGAAUUUCUAAAAAUUCAUUUUUCUGGGAUAUAUCCAGUUUUUUAACCAUAGCUUAUAAAAUGAGAAAACAUGAUAUUUAAUUCACUCAAAAUCAUGUGAUUUUUUUUCUGCAGUUACAAUUGAUUAAGGUUCUUCCUAAAUUUUUAUUAGAAACUGAGUCCAAAAUUUCAGUUAUGAUUUCACACCAGCAGAAAAGAGUAGCACCCCUACUAUGUACCAAUUAGUAAAGCUAAGUUUGGGUUUCAUGUAUUAGCUCUCAUGGGCUACUCGGAGAUAAAUUGAUCUUGCAGUCAAUUAAAAGCAAAGGAUUUUUUGCUAGAAGUGUGCUACCAAGCUGUGUGUCUCUGGCUUGUGCAGUUAACUAUUUAAACCUAAAAGCAGUACUUUAUACCUUUUAAAGGUCAAAUUGCUGGUUUCAAUCCGGUGUUCUGGCCUCUCAUGUUCUUCUUUGAUUCCCGCAUAAAAGGCUUGUGUCAUCUGCAAAGGUGAUGAGCCUUUCUCUCUUACACAGCUUCAUGAAUGUCUUAGCUGAAAAUGUUGACCAGAGGCUCAUCAGCAAAGUCAAUUCUCUAGCCAGAGCAGUGUCCUCAACUUUCAAACCAGAUUAUAGUGAGGAAGUUAUGCUGUUUGUCACACACAAGAAGAAAGGAAAUUGCAUACUGCUGCCAAUAUUGCACUCUUCCUGAAAAUAAAUAGAAAUGGCCUUUCAAGAGCUCCCAAAAUGAAGUUUAGGAUGUUUUAAAAAUUCUUCUUUCAAUAGUAGGAUGGCAGAAGGAACACCUGAAAUAUUGCUUGUUUGUAUUCUCAGAACUUUUGCUGUUAAUUCUAAACAAAAUUGGCAGUUAUUUGCAUAACCUCAUAUGAAAGGGAAUGAAAGGUCUUUAUGCCCAAAAACAUUUUAUUUGCGUAUUCAUUCAUUCAAUCAAUAAAUGAUUAAGCAAAUAUUAAGUUCUUGUUAUAUUCAGAAAAUGUAGUGGAUUCUGGACAUUCAAAGAUAAAGUAUUAUCCUGCCCUUGGAGCUGAAUCACAUAAAGGAGGUAAUAGAAACUCAAGCAAGUGGAAUAAAAUGUUAAGGAGUUUUAUUACCUACUCAGAAUAGUAAGAUAGCAUGAAAGUAGGAUACAAUAAUACAUAGUAUAUCUAUAUUAACGUAUCUAAAUCUAAUCUACAUAUACAUACCAAAACAACCAUUGGAAAAUAUUAUGGAAGUUCUCUUUUAGAAUUUCAACAGAUACCUCUGAAUAAAUAAUAAUAAUCUGAUGUAUUUCAUAUUAUAAAACUAUAAAAUAUUACUCAUAUUACACAACUAGUUAGUAUAAGGACAAGAUUUAGACUUACCUCAUCCACUUUCUGAGUCCGUGCACUAAAGCACUAUAUCAGAGCUCACCUUCUAGAAUGGCAAAAAUCAAAAUGAGUAUUAAUUCUCAGUGAUAUUGAGGAUAUGAGAAAACUCAUGUAUUGGUAGUGCA